rnacentral:rRNA from 1 species
CCUACGGGUGGCAGCAGUAGGGAAUCUUUCACAAUGGGCGAAAGCCUGAUGGAGCAACGCCGCGUGCAGGAUGAAGGCCUUCGGGUUGUAAACUGCUUUUAUAAGCGAGAAAUAUGAUGGUAACUUAUGAAUAAGGAUCGGCUAACUACGUGCUAGCAGCCGCGGUCAUACGUAGGAUCCGAGCAUUAUCCGGAGUGACUGGGUGUAAAGAGUUGCGUAGGUGGCAUAGUAAGUAGCUAGUGAAAUCUGGUGGCUCAACCAUUCAGACUAUUAGCUAAACUGCUAAGCUCGAGACCGGUAGGGGUAACUGGAAUUUCUAGUGUAGGAGUGAAAUGCGUAGAUAUUAGAAGGAACACCGAUAGCGAAGGCAGGUUACUGGGACGGUUCUGACACUAAGGCACGAAAGCGUAGGGAGCAAACGGGAUUAGAUACCCCAGUAGUC